rnacentral:rRNA from 1 species
UACAGAGGGUGCAAGCGUUGUUCGGAAUUAUUGGGCGUAAAGAGCGUGUAGGCGGUCCGAUAAGUCCGCUCUGAAAGCCCGGGGCUCAACCCCGGGAGGCGGGCGGAUACUGUCGGGCUAGAGUCCGGAAGAGGCAAGUGGAAUUCCUGGUGUAGCGGUGAAAUGCGCAGAUAUCAGGAGGAACACCGAUGGCGAAGGCAGCUUGCUGGGACGGUACUGACGCUGAGACGCGAAAGCGUGGGGAGCAAACAGG